rnacentral:snRNA from 1 species
AGACUUUUUUAACUGCGAU